rnacentral:piRNA from 1 species
UGAUGACUACAACUAUUUGAGCAUGCC